rnacentral:tRNA from 3 species
GCGGCUGUAGCUCAGUUGGAUAGAGUGUUUGGCUACGAACCAAAAGGUCGCGGGUUCGAAUCCCUCCAGCCGUACCA